rnacentral:rRNA from 1 species
UACGUAGGGUGCGAGCGUUAAUCGGAAUUACUGGGCGUAAAGCGUGCGCAGGCGGUUGUGCAAGACCGAUGUGAAAUCCCCGGGCUCAACCUGGGAAUGGCAUUUGGGACUGCAAGGCUUGAGUGCGGCAGAGGAGACUGGAAUUCCUGGUGUAGCAGUGAAAUGCGUAGAUAUCAGGAGGAAUACCGAUGGCGAAGGCAGGUCUCUGGGCUGACACUGACGCUCAUGCACGAAAGCGUGGGGAGCAAACAGG